AGAGCAGUCCACUUCUUUACAGCCUUGCAGGCCAGCAACGGCCACUGGCCGGCUGAAAAUGCCGGCCCCUUAUUCUUCCUUCCGCCUCUCGUCAUGUGUUUAUACAUAACCGGCCACCUUAAUACAGUUUUCCCAGCAGAUCAUUGUACAGAAAUCCUUCGGUAUAUCUACUGUCACCAGAAUGAAGAUGGUGGGUGGGGAUUACACAUUGAAGGACACAGCACUAUGUUCUGUACAGCUCUAAGCU